GACGAACGCUGGCGGCGUGCCUAAUACAUGCAAGUCGAACGAAACUUUCUUACACCGAAUGCUUGCAUUCACCGUAAGAAGUUGAGUGGCGGACGGGUGAGUAACACGUGGGUAACCUGCCUAAAAGAAGGGGAUAACACUUGGAAACAGGUGCUAAUACCGUAUAUCUCUAAGGAUCGCAUGAUCCUUAGAUGAAAGAUGGUUCUGCUAUCGCUUUUAGAUGGACCCGCGGCGUAUUAACUAGUUGGUGGGGUAAUGGCCUACCAAGGUGAAGAUACGUAGCCGAACUGAGCGGUUGAUCGGCCACAUUGGGACUGAGACACGGCCCAAACUCCUACGGGAGGCAGCAGUAGGGAAUCUUCCACAAUGGACGCAAGUCUGAUGGAGCAACGCCGCGUGAGUGAAGAAGGUCUUCGGAUCGUAAAACUCUGUUGUUAGAGAAGAACACGAGUGAGAGUAACUGUUCAUUCGAUGACGGUAUCUAACCAGCAAGUCACGGCUAACUACGUGCCAGCCGCCGCAGUAAUAC
rnacentral:rRNA from 1 species